rnacentral:rRNA from 1 species
CCUACGGGUGGCAGCAGUGGGGGAUAUUGCACAAUGGGGGGAACCCUGAUGCAGCGACGCCGCGUGGGUGAAGAAGCUCCUCGGCGUGUAAAGCCCUGUUAGCAGGGAAGAGAAGGACGGUACCUGAAGAAGAAGCCCCGGCUAACUACGUGCCAGCAGCCGCGGUAAUACGUAGGGGGCAAGCGUUAUCCGGAUUUACUUGGUGUAAAGGGGGCGCAGACGGCGCAGCAAGUCAGGAGUGAAAGCCCGGGGCCCAACCCCGGGACUGCUGUUGGAACUGCGUGGCUGGAGUGCAGGAGGGGGAGGCGGAAUUCCUGGUGUAGGGGUGAAAUGCGUAGAGAUCAGGAGGAACACCGGUGGCGAAGGCGGCCUGCUGGACUGCAACUGACGCUGAGGCCCGAAAGCGUGGGGAGCAAACAGUAUUAGAUACCCGAGUAGUC